UUCAGAUUAUAUUUUUGUCUUCUCCUUGAUGCUUUGCUGGUGAGGGAAACGAUGAAUUCGAAGAACAUAUAUGGCGAGUGGUGUGGCGACUCUCUUAGGUUCUGAGUAUGUGCCGAAGGUGGACCUCUGAAAGUGAAAACCCCUAUAAAAAGCUUUUAGUGAGAAGGCACCACUAACUUGAUGUACGAAGAAAAGAUGAUGCGUAUAUACUAUUAUGAAGAGUGGACGAAUCACAGAUAGUAUAUGAAUACAGGGUCGGUCGUGGAGACAUGCACAUACAAAAAUGGAAAAGAAAUGCAAUACUUUCGACAUUCCUGAUGUUCCAGCAAUGUUGGGCGUAACGGUUGAGAAAAGUAUGUGCUAAUUUACUAUUCUAAAUGAAGAGUAAGCAAGAAGGUUUUGAACAGUGAUAUCUUGUUCCUCUUUCUGGAUUGAAUAAUAUAUACAUGAGUUUUAAAGAUUAAUGCCUUUUAGACCACUAUCAUAGAAAACUAAUCGUUUGCUAUACGUAACAACCAUUAUAAUCUGAUUACUACAGAUAAAAAAUAAAUUACCAAAUAGAUUUCCUGGCCCCAUUUCUCUGUAUUAAGCCACUGGUGAAGAUUAUACGUAUGCAUGCGUGUGUGAUAUGUUUGUUACACGUGUGUCUCAUAUUUGUUCUCUUCUUGGAUUUAGAGUCACCACUCUCGUCACUAGUUGGAAUUUAUGAUGCUGAUGAUGGGAAACACGAGCAUCUUGAUUUCAUCUCGCUUUGUAAGUACCAAGAGUACUUCAGUAUAUAUUACUGGCAGAUAUAUAAGUUUAAUUUGUUCUUGUAGAUGAUCCCGGGUCAUGAUUUUCACAUCUUGAUAUACAAUAGGCGAAUGCUUAAAUAUAAUUUCAUUUGUAGCAUAGAAAGUCCGAGCUUUUAGAUGCGUUGGUUUGAAACUUAGGAGAAGAAGCAAUUCAGUUGUUUAGCUGAAAUUUACAAUCAAGUUGUUUUUAAAAGAAAAAAAAACAUUAGCGGAAAAGAACGGUUUCAGUGACAUCAUAUAUAUCAUAAUUAAUACUUUUGUAAGAACCUAUAGUGCUUUCCUUAAUUUUUUUAAUAUUUUCUUUACCUGCUUCUUCCAUUCAUGAAUGUGGUCCACUCUGCGAGGAACCCUAAUUCAACAAAUUCAACAAGCAAUUCGAAUCUCUCUUUUUCUAGUUUUAAUUAAACUUUUGUAACAAUUUUCUUGUUUUUUUAAACACAUUUUUAAAUUCGUCGUUUUUAGCCAUUCUAUAAACCCU